GAUCCGGCUGCUGUUGGUCGGCCGCAUAGGUCUGUACUCUGCUGGCCGGAUCUUUCCUUCUGGAGAACCAACAUGCCAUUUACUUGGUGUGUUGGCGAUCCAGGACUUUUACCUUGAAAAAAUUAGAGUGUUUAAAGCAGGCUUACGCUUGAAUACAUUAGCAUGGAAUAAUAGAAUAGGACUUUGGUUCUAUUUUGUUGGUUUCUAGGACCGAAGUAAUGAUUAAUAGGGAUAGUUG
rnacentral:rRNA from 1 species